ensembl:lncRNA
GCAAAAUAGUCAGUGCCAAUGAUGAAUCAAAACUCAGUUUUGAUAAUAAGGAACAGGUUUAUUCGAGACAGAGAUAGGUUCCCAUCCAGUUCCCUGCGAUGUUGAAGGAAAGAUAUUGUAUAAAAGGUAAUUGUAAAGACAUACAAAGAGGCAUGAAACCAUGAAACACUUAGAUAACCUUCUCUCACUUGUACUCCAAUUUGGAGACUUGAUUUACAUGUAAGUAUUUACCCUUUUCCCCAGACAAUGCUCACAUUCAGUUCCUCUUUAUUCUUUCAGAUAUACUACCUGCAGGAAGACCUUCAUGGAAGAAGUAUCAGUCCAAAAGGAAAAAUCUUUUCUUUCUUCCUCACCAGCUUCUUUGAGUUAUGAAGGGUUCGCUAAGAAAUAUUUGCUUCUGAUUCAGUUAUCUUUCCUUUUCAGCCCUGGAUAUUUUCCUGCAUCUCAUCUUCAACAGAAAACUGCCUGUCUGAAUGCUGCUUGUUGCUAAUUUACAGUUGUCACUCCUGAGUCUGCCCAGGAUUCCAUACUGCCUGGUGUGUUUGGGGUACAUAAAGCAUUCAAAAAUGCCUUAGACUCAGGAAAGCAUUAGGCACUGAAAGCUCAGCACUGCAACCAUGGACCAGAGCAUCAGGUGACACUGAGGCAAUAUAGAUGUUGGCAAAGCAGAAGGCUCAGCUGGAUAUAUGCAGAGAUCUAUGUUUCAGGAAGAAAAACAAAACAAAACAAAACAAAAACAAAAUUGGUCUAGGAUAGAUUGUCAGUGGUGUACUACAAGUCCCUGGAUUAGUAACUGAGCACUGAAAACUAGGAGAAAAAAUCAAUUUCUAAGGAAACCAAAACAAAAUUUUGCACCCCAAAAUAGCAUUUCAUUUAAGGAUAUUAAAUCCAACCCCAUACAUUACAUCUCACUGUGAAAUAGGAUAGUUUUUAUGUUUUUAGUUGAGGAAAAUAAGGCUCACCAUCAUAGAGGAAAAAAAGAAAUGCUAUCAUCAUUUUCCUUCUCUAGGUUUUCA